rnacentral:rRNA from 1 species
UACGUAGGGUGCAAGCGUUGUCCGGAAUUAUUGGGCGUAAAGAGCUCGUAGGCGGUCUGUCGCGUCGGCUGUGAAAACCCGGGGCUCAACCCCGGGCCUGCAGUCGAUACGGGCAGACUAGAGUGCGGUAGGGGAGACUGGAAUUCCUGGUGUAGCGGUGAAAUGCGCAGAUAUCAGGAGGAACACCGGUGGCGAAGGCGGCGAUCUGGGUCGAUACUGACGCUGAGGUGCGAAAGCGUGGGGAGCAAACAGG